GAGGGUAUAACUCAGUGGUAGAGUGCGUGCUUAGCGUGCACAAGGUCCUGGGUUCAAUCCCAGCACUUCUG
rnacentral:tRNA from 1 species